UACGGGGGGAGCAAGCGGUUGUUCGGAUUUACUGGGCGUAAAGGGCGCGUAGGCGGUCGUGACAAGUCACUUGUGAAAUCUCCGGGCUUAACUCGGAACGGUCAAGUGAUACUGUCGGACUAGAGUACAGAAGGGGCAACUGGAAUUCUCGGUGUAGCGGUGAAAAUGCGUAGAUAUCGAGAGGAACACCUGCGGCGAAGGCGGGUUGCUGGGCUGAUACUGACGCUGAGGCGCGAAAGCCAGGGGAGCGAACGGG
rnacentral:rRNA from 1 species